ensembl:lncRNA
GGGGGAGUGACGGUAGGAUGGAGCGGAUUGGAACAGGGCCUCGGGGGGGGAGUGACGGUAGGAUGGAGCGGAUUGGAACAGGGCCUCGGGGGGGAUGACGGUAGGAUGGAGCGGAUUGGAACAGGGCCUCGGGGGAAGUGACGGUAGGAUGGAGCGGAUUGGAACAGGGCCUCGGGGUGAGUGACGGUAGGAUGGAGCGGAUUGGAACAGGGCCUCGGGGGGAGUGACGGUAGGAUGGAGCGGAUUGGAACAGGGCCUUACACUGAGUUUCCUCUUGGGGGCUUUCUGUUUGGCGGUCGCUCCCCUACGAUGAGUCACAAACUUCCCUGGAGCCAAAACUGGAGACGG